ACCCUUGUGGAGGAGGACGCCGAAGGUGGGGCUAAUGACUGGGGUGAAGUCGUAACAAGGUAGCCGUACCGGAAGGUGCGGCUGGAUCACCUCCUAACAGGGAGACAACAAAAUGUUUAAUAUUAUUAUUUUGUCACCUUAGGUCGAUCGGUAUCUCACGUUCUUAAUUUAUUAAGAAUUUUAUUUCCUAAGUUUUUCUAGGUCACACCCAUUAUUUUCCUGGGCCAUUAGCUCAGGUGGUUAGAGCGCACCCCUGAUAAGGGUGAGGUCCCUGGUUCAAGUCCAGGAUGGCCCAUAUCUCUAUGUUGGGGGUAUAGCUCAGUUGGUAGAGCGCCUGCUUUGCAAGCAGGAUGUCAGCGGUUCGAGUCCGCUUACCUCCACUGAUUACCACCUCUUCCAUAAUCUGUAGAAGGGAAAAUUUUUUUGAGUUGUGAUCAUUAUUCUGAACGAAUCUAGCUUCCUAAUGAAACCAUUAAGAUGCUGGACUCAUUGAAUUAAUUUCAUUGUUUUCAGAGAACCUUGACAACUGCAUAGAUUAUUUUAAAGACAAUAAGCAUCUUUAAUGAUGCAGAUUUAUUAUUUGUGCAAAUGCAUUAAUAACAAUUCUAUUAAGCUGAUGCUUCAAUUUUGAAGUUAUUGGUCAAGCUACAAAGGGCUCACGGAGGAUACCUAGGCACACAGAGGC
rnacentral:misc_RNA from 1 species